CAACCAAGUAACUGGCCUUUUUCUUUGGCAGGAUGAUUUUAUGAACUUGUUUAUCAUGUUCAUGGCAAGUACAAAGUACAUUAGGAACCCUUACUUAAGAGCCAAAAUGGUUGAAGUCUUGAAUCGUUGAAUUCCUUUUAGGAACCGCCGGUUCCGGUUCCGGUUCUUGCCAAAUGAGGCGGGUACCCGCCUAUGCUCAUCCCUACUUUUUGACGGGAACCAAAUCUCUGUUCAGUAUCUUGUGAAGAAUCUUUUGAAACUCAAUGUUGAUAUCGAGUUCAUAGGAUCCCACACUCAGAUUCACAGACUCACGGUUUCACAGCUCCAUCACAGAUUCAUGGUUACACAGUUUCACAGAUUGAUGUAAUAGUUGGUGUAUUAGUCUAAUGUUUGAUGUAAUGGAACAAUAUUUGAUGUUUUCAUUUACUGGUUUUUAUUUACUGUUUUGGCAGUUUUUUUGCUGUUUUGACAGUUUUAAUAUGUUUUUUUAACAAUAUUUGGCAAAACUUUAGUUGUUUUAAUAGCUUUAAUUAUGCAGUUUUUUUACUAAAUUAGUCUAAUGAACUCGACUAAAAUGGGCCUAAAAAGCCCAAACCGUGAAACCAAAUCGUUUGUAACGGCUUGGUUUGGUUCAGUUUUAAAUUUUCAACGGUUCAGAUUUGGUUUUUUCUUGACAAAAACCGUUAGUAACGGUUUGGCUUCGAUUUGAA